UGAAUACGAGAUGCUACGGCAUUGAAGCAGUGUAUGUCAGACUUCCAAGAAAAGCUCGCAAUGUCAUAAACAAUAAAUGCCUGUACCAUAACCGACACAGGUGGGUAGGUAGAGUAUACUAAGGGGCGCGAGAUAACUCUCUCUAAGGAACUCGGCAAAAUGACUCCGUAACUUCGGGAGAAGGAGUGCCUUAUUUUAUAAGGUUGCAAUAACAAGAUCCAAGCAACUGUUUACCAAAAACACAGGUCUCCGCUAAGUCGAAAGACGAUGUAUGGGGGCUGACGCCUGCCCAGUGCCAGAAGGUUAAAGAAGUUGGUUAGCUUCGGCGAAGCUGAUGACUGAAGCCCUGGUGAACGGCGGCCGUAACCAUAACGGUCCUAAGGUAGCGAAAUUCCUUGUCGGGUUCCGACCCGCACGAAAGGCGUAAUGAUUUGGAUACUGUCUCGGAGAGGGGCUCGGUGAAAUAGACUUGUCUGUGAAGAUGCGGACUACCUGCACCUGGACAGAAAGACCCUAUGAGGCUUUACUGUAACUUGAGAUUGAAAUUGGACUUUAUUUGCGCAGUAUAGGUGGGAGACGUUGAGAAUAUUCUUGCGGGAAUAUUGGAGUCAUCAGUGAGAUACCACUCUUGUAAUGUUAGAUUUCUAACUUUGUAUCAUUAUCUGGUCAAAGGACAGUUUCAGGCGGGCAGUUUGACUGGGGCGGUCGCCUCCUAAACGGUAACGGAGGCGCACAAAGGUUUCCUCUGAACGUGUAGAAAUCGUAUCUAGAGUGUAAAGGCAUAAGGAAGCUUGACUGUGAGACCUACAAGUCGAGCAGGGACGAAAGUCGGUCUUAGUGAUCUGACGGUGCUGAGUGGAAAGGCCGUCACUCAACGGAUAAAAGUUACUCUAGGAUAACAGGCUGAUCUCCCCCAAGAGUUCACAUCGACGGGGAGGUUUGGCACCUCGAUGUCGGCUCAUCGCAUCCUGGGGCGGUAGUACGUCCCAGGGGUUGGGCUGUUCGCCCAUGAAAGCGGUACGCGAGCUGGGUUCAGAACGUCGUGAGACAGUUCGGUCCAUAUCCGGUGUAGGCGUUAGAAUAUUGAGAGGAGCCUUCUUUAGUACGAGAGGACCGAGAAGGACAUACCUCUGGUGUACCAGUUAUCGUGCCAACGGUAAACGCUGGGUAGCUAUGUAUGGAGUGGAUAACCGCUGAAAGCAUCUAAGUGGGAAGCCCACCUCAAGAUAAGUAUUCUCAU
rnacentral:rRNA from 1 species